GUGCCAGCCGCCGCGGUAAUACGUAGGUGGCAAGCGUUGUCCGGAUUUACUGGGCGUAAAGAAUGCGUAGGCGGACAUUUAAGUCAGAUGUGAAAUACCCGGGCUCAACUUGGGUGCUGCAUUUGAAACUGGAUGUCUAGAGUGCGGGAGAGGAAAGUGGAAUUCCUAGUGUAGCGGUGAAAUGCGUAGAGAUUAGGAAGAACACCAGUGGCGAAGGCGACUUUCUGGACCGUAACUGACGCUGAGGCAUGAAAGCGUGGGGAGCAAACAGGAUUAGAUACCCUGGUAGUCCACGCCGUAAACGAUGGGUACUAGGUGUAGGGGGUAUCGACUCCCUCUGUGCCGCAGUUAACACAAUAAGUACCCCGCCUGGGGAGUACGGCCGCAAGGUUGAA
rnacentral:rRNA from 1 species